CUUUAUUUUAGUGAUGAACAUAAGGAUCUGAUUCAAAUGGUGAGUAAGUAUCAAAACUGUAAAUUUAAGUGAAACUAUAUCAAUUUCUUCCUUUGAAAUAAGUGGUUAAAUGGCUCUCUUGGGUGAACUUUUUCUUUAACUUUUUCCAUUUACAAUGAAUUGGAAACACAAAUAGCCAAUAACUGUCACUGCCUUGAAAGUGAAAGUGAAAUCCUUGUUUGUGUGGUCUCUGUAGACAUUUCAUGCCAAAGGUGGUGAUUUCUUCAAGGUUCUUGUUAUACCCAUAACCUCAAAUGCUUUGGGAUGAAACUCUGCUCAGAGCAAAAAUGGCAGAAUUCAGAAGGAAUUUGUGGAAGUGGAGCUUCUGUUACUCGUAAUUGAAGAAAGAGUAAUUCUCCCCAUGUAAUUGAGAAAGAUACAAAAUGGAUGGAGAACCAGAUUUGGCCUGAAGGCCCACAGGUUGCUGACUCCUGGUUAUUUGAAGAUAAGCUUCCCCCAGACAGAAUUAACCAAGAAAGAGGAAGUUAUAAAUGCAAGAAUAUAGAGGAUCCAACAUAGAAAAGAGGCAAGUUGAAUCCUCAGGAUGAUGGUGAAGACAGAUCCUACGAAGAUAGGAUCCACCACCCAUUGAGGCUGGAACAGGAGGACAGAGGGCUCCGGGGAGAUUUGAGCCAGAAGACAAAUUGAACCCAAGCAAAAUAAAACAAAACAAAAAUGA